AUUAAAGCCUCAUCCAUCGUGACAGUGUUGAGAAAGUGACGUGUGUGCAGCAGGGUAGGCUCCCGAACCAACAGAACAGAACAGAAAACCCAGAAAGUCACCACCACAAACAUGCCCACCUGAUUUUUGACAAAGGCAUACAAACAAUUCAGUGGAGGAAGAGCAGCUUUUCAACAAAUGGUGCGGGAAGAAUCAGACAUCUAUUGGCCAAAAAAAAAAAAAAAAAAAAAAAAAAAGGAACUUUGACCUAAGUCUCAUAACUUAAACAAAAAUUAACUCAAAACGUACCCAGAGUAGGCAAACCCAUAGGGACAGAAAGCAGAUCUGAGGCUGCCGGGGGGAAAUCCGUGUACGUUUUUUGCUCUUGCCGGUGACACGUGUGCUCCCGUCAUCUUAGGGUGACGAUUGUUUGGUGUUGCUCUGUGUGUGCUGUUUUCUAACCCUUGGUAGGUGUGGCACAUGUCACGCCAUUUUUCACUAGUAGCUAGAGAGAGAUUCAUCCUGUUUUAAUUUUCUAGUACUUGCCUUAUUUUUCUCUGACCACAUGUGUGAGGAACCACGUCCCUGUGUGUGAGGACUUACGAGGAGCCUCUGCCUCCCCGUCACUGCCCUCCCAGGGAUACUUAUUUUUGUUGGCAUGUGGAGAAAAUGAAGACUCGUCACUGGGUGCAGUGGUGCACGGCUGUGGGACGGCAAGGCAGGAGGAUUGCUUGAGCCCAGGAGUUUGAGACCAGCCUGGGCAAUAUGGUGUGUGAGACGUGUCUCCUUUCUCUCCGCCAAGAGUGAACGCCCUUUGACCAGGCCUUGCGGUGGUUCGGGGAGAGACGUCCAUGAGGAGAGGAAACUGAGGCCCAGAGGCAGGGCCAGCUGUGUCAUCUGUAGGGCCCAUAGAAAAUGAAAAUGUGCGGGCACGUGGUGGAGCGUCUGUCAUCCCAGCACCUCAAGAGGCCGAGGCGGGAGGAUCACGAGGUCAGAAGUUCAAGACCAGUCUGGGCAACAUAGUGAAACCCCAUCUCUAAUAAAAAUACAAAAAAUAAAAAUAAAAAUAGCCAGGCGUGGUGGAGCCUCUGUAAUCCCAGCUACUCGGGAGGCGGAGGUGGGAGAAUCGCUUGAGCCUGGGGGUCGGAGGUUGCAGUGAGCCAAGAUCAUGCCAUUGCGCUCCAGCCUGAGUGACACAGUGAGAUCCUGUCUCAAACAAACAAAAAAAAGAAGACAAUGAGAAUGUGUGCCCUUCUUUAAGAAGUAUUAAGCAUUUCAGGAUGGUGGCAGC
rnacentral:lncRNA from 10 species